UACAGAGUACUUGGUGCAUGUACAUGCUUCACUAAAUCAUUUCCUUAUGAGCCAGAAUAAGAUUUUUAAAGUUGGUAGUUGCACUACAUGCUGAGAUUGUUCAUUUGUGAAGUACUUUGUGCAAAUGAUUAUUCUCGGUUCUUUGCCUCAUAUAACUACAAAUGAGGAGGUAUGAAGGGUCGACUAAGAAACUGAGUCAAACUACUUGAUUUAAGGCAUCAUCAUAGGUGAUUGUAGUUAAAUUGCCUCCUUCACACUUACAUCCACCAUCAAUCAGAUCUGGCAGCUACAUGGAGACAUGGAACGCACCAUCAUUUUGUCGGACCAAGUGUGGAGUUAGCUAUGGAAUUUACACCAUCAAC